rnacentral:lncRNA from 1 species
AGAUCGCCACCUACAGGCGCCUGCUGGAGGGCGAGGAGCAGAGGCUAUGUGAAGGCAUUGGGGCUGUGAAUGUCUGUGUCAGCAGCUCCCGGGGCGGGGUCGUGUGCGGGGACCUCUGCGUGUCAGGCUCCCGGCCAGUGACUGGCAGUGUCUGCAGCGCUCCGUGCAACGGGAACGUGGCGGUGAGCACCGGCCUGUGUGCGCCCUGCGGCCAAUUGAACACCACCUGCGGAGGGGGUUCCUGCGGCGUGGGCUCCUGUGGUAUCAGCUCCCUGGGUGUGGGGUCUUGCGGCAGCAGCUGCCGGAAAUGUUAGGCACCCCAACUCAAGUCCCAGGCCCCAGGCAUCUUUCCUGCCCUGCCUUGCUUGGCCCAUCCAGUCCAGGCGCCUGGAGCAAGUGCUCAGCUACUUCUCCUGCACUUUGAAAGACCCCUCCCACUCCUGGCCUCACAUUUCUCUGUGUGAUCCCCCACUUCUGGGCUCUGCCACCCCACAGUGGGAAAGGCCACCCUAGAAAGAAGUCCGCUGGCACCCAUAGGAAGGGGCCUCAGGAGCAGGAAGGGCCAGGACCAGAACCUUGCCCACGGCAACUGCCUUCCUGCCUCUCCCCUUCCUCCUCUGCUCUUGAUCUGUGUUUCAAUAAAUUAAUGUAGCCAA